GAUACAAAGCUCUGGCUUGGGGAAACCAAAAUGCCUGAAGUGGAGGAAGCUGGGAGAUGGAGGGCCCCUGGCAGUGCCUCUGAAGAUGUACCUGGACAUCUUUAAAUGUCCUCUUGGGAAGCAACACAAAGCAGCUGGCUGAAAGGUAUUGCCUUCUGCGGACAAACACUCAGGAACAAAGCUUUGUUGCUAAGCACAGACUGAAGUGCAAACAUCUGCUGCUGGAAGGGAGAAUGAUGCUGGUACCAGGAGGAGAAGGACGGAGACGCUUGUUUUGCUGUGCCGGGGGCAAGCACGAUGAGGGACCGUCGAUAGGGCACCGGUGGCCCCCCC